AUUGAACGCUGCGGCAGGCCUAACACAUGCAAGUCGAGCGCGAAAACACUUCGGUGUGAGUAGAGCGGCGGACGGGUGAGUAAUGCUUGGGAAUCUGCCCAGUAGUGGGGGAUAACGUGUGGAAACGCACGCUAAUACCGCAUACGUCCUACGGGAGAAAGCAGGGGAUCUUCGGACCUUGCGCUAUUGGAUGAGCCCAAGUCAGAUUAGCUAGUUGGUGAGGUAAUGGCUCACCAAGGCGACGAUCUGUAGCUGGUCUGAGAGGAUGAUCAGCCACACUGGGACUGAGACACGGCCCAGACUCCUACGGGAGGCAGCAGUGGGGAAUAUUGCACAAUGGGCGAAAGCCUGAUGCAGCCAUGCCGCGUGUGUGAAGAAGGCUCUAGGGUUGUAAAGCACUUUCAGUGGGGAGGAAAAGUUUAAGAUUAAUACUCUUGAACCUUGACGUUACCUGCAGAAGAAGCACCGGCAAACUCCGUGCCAGCAGCCGCGGUAAUACGGAGGGUGCGAGCGUUAAUCGGAAUUACUGGGCGUAAAGCGCGCGUAGGUGGUUUGAUAAGCUAGCUGUGAAAGCCCCGGGCUCAACCUGGGAACUGCAGUUAGAACUGUCUGGCUAGAGUAUAGUAGAGGGUGGCGGAAUUUCCUGUGUAGCGGUGAAAUGCGUAGAUAUAGGAAGGAACAUCAGUGGCGAAGGCGGCCACCUGGACUAAUACUGACACUGAG
rnacentral:rRNA from 1 species